AUAAAGCGGUGUUAUCCUA
rnacentral:snRNA from 1 species